GCGUAGCAAUAAGCGGAGGAAAAGAAACCAACAGGGAUUGCCCUAGUAACGGCGAGUGAAGCGGCAACAGCUCAAAUUUGAAAUCUGGCCCCAGGCCCGAGUUGUAAUUUGCAGAGGAUGCUUUUGGCGACGCGCCUUCCGAGUUCCCUGGAACGGGACGCCAUAGAGGGUGAGAGCCCCGUACGGUCGUGCGCCUAGCCUCUGUAAAGCUCCUUCGACGAGUCGAGUAGUUUGGGAAUGCUGCUCUAAAUGGGAGGUAUACGUCUUCUAAAGCUAAAUACCGGCCAGAGACCGAUAGCGCACAAGUAGAGUGAUCGAAAGAUGAAAAGCACUUUGAAAAGAGGGUUAAAUAGUACGUGAAAUUGCUGAAAGGGAAGCGCUCAUGACCAGACUUGGGCCGGUGAAUCAUCCAGCGUUCUCGCUGGUGCACUUUGCCGGUCCAGGCCAGCAUCAGUUCGCGCCGGGGGAUAAAGGCUUCGGGAAUGUGGCUCCUCCGGGAGUGUUAUAGCCCGUUGCGUAAUACCCUGGGGUGGACUGAGGUACGCGCUCCGCAAGGAUGCUGGCGUAAUGGUCAUCAGCGACCCGUCUUGAAACACGGACCAAGGAGUCGUCUUCGUAUGCGAGUGUUCGGGUGUCAAACCCUUACGCGUAAUGAAAGUGAACGUAGGAGAGAGCUUCGGCGCAUCUCCGACCGAUCCUGAUGUUCUCGGAUGGAUUUGAGUAAGAGCAUACGGGGCCGGACCCGAAAGAAGGUGAACUAUGCCUGUAUAGGGUGAAGCCAGAGGAAACUCUGGUGGAGGCUCGCAGCGGUUCUGACGUGCAAAUCGAUCGUCAAAUAUGGGCAUGGGGGCGAAAGACUAAUCGAACCUUCUAGUAGCUGGUUUCCGCCGAAG
rnacentral:rRNA from 1 species